AUGAACGCUAGCGACAGGCUUAACACAUGCAAGUCGAGGGGCAGCGGGGUGUAGCGAUACACCGCCGGCGACCGGCGCACGGGUGAGUAACGCGUAUGCAACUUGCCUAUCAGAGGGGGAUAACCCGGCGAAAGUCGGACUAAUACCGCAUGAAGCAGGGGCCCCGCAUGGGGAUAUUUGCUAAAGAUUCAUCGCUGAUAGAUAGGCAUGCGUUCCAUUAGGCAGUUGGCGGGGUAACGGCCCACCAAACCGACGAUGGAUAGGGGUUCUGAGAGGAAGGUCCCCCACAUUGGUACUGAGACACGGACCAAACUCCUACGGGAGGCAGCAGUGAGGAAUAUUGGUCAAUGGGCGCGAGCCUGAACCAGCCAAGUCGCGUGAGGGAUGAAGGUUCUAUGGAUCGUAAACCUCUUUUAUAAGGGAAUAAAGUGCGGGACGUGUCCCGUUUUGUAUGUACCUUAUGAAUAAGGAUCGGCUAACUCCGUGCCAGCAGCCGCGGUAAUACGGAGGAUCCGAGCGUUAUCCGGAUUUAUUGGGUUUAAAGGGUGCGUAGGCGGCCUUUUAAGUCAGCGGUGAAAGUCUGUGGCUCAACCAUAGAAUUGCCGUUGAAACUGGGGGGCUUGAGUAUGUUUGAGGCAGGCGGAAUGCGUGGUGUAGCGGUGAAAUGCUUAGAUAUCACGCAGAACCCCGAUUGCGAAGGCAGCCUGCCAAGCCAUGACUGACGCUGAUGCACGAAAGCGUGGGGAUCAAACAGGAUUAGAUACCCUGGUAGUCCACGCAGUAAACGAUGAUCACUAGCUGUUUGCGAUACAGUGUAAGCGGCACAGCGAAAGCGUUAAGUGAUCCACCUGGGGAGUACGCCGGCAACGGUGAAACUCAAAGGAAUUGACGGGGGCCCGCACAAGCGGAGGAACAUGUGGUUUAAUUCGAUGAUACGCGAGGAACCUUACCCGGGUUUGAACGCAUUCGGACCGAGGUGGAAACACCUUUUCUAGCAAUAGCCGUUUGCGAGGUGCUGCAUGGUUGUCGUCAGCUCGUGCCGUGAGGUGUCGGCUUAAGUGCCAUAACGAGCGCAACCCUUGCCACUAGUUACUAACAGGUGAUGCUGAGGACUCUGGUGGGACUGCCAGCGUAAGCUGCGAGGAAGGCGGGGAUGACGUCAAAUCAGCACGGCCCUUACAUCCGGGGCGACACACGUGUUACAAUGGCGUGGACAAAGGGAAGCCACCUGGCGACAGGGAGCGAAUCCCCAAACCACGUCUCAGUUCGGAUCGGAGUCUGCAACCCGACUCCGUGAAGCUGGAUUCGCUAGUAAUCGCGCAUCAGCCAUGGCGCGGUGAAUACGUUCCCGGGCCUUGUACACACCGCCCGUCAAGCCAUGGGAGCCGGGGGUACCUGAAGUCCGUAACCGAAAGGAUCGGUCUAGGGUAAAACUGGUGACUGGGGCU
rnacentral:rRNA from 1 species